AGAGUUUGAUCCUGGCUCAGGAUGAACGCUAGCGGCAGGCUUAACACAUGCAAGUCGAGGGGCAGCGCGAUGUAGCAAUACAUUGGCGGCGACCGGCGCACGGGUGCGUAACACGUAUGGAAUCUGCCCUUUACUGGGGGAUAGCCCGGAGAAAUCCGGAUUAAUACCCCAUAACAAUCGAGGUGGCAUCACCUUGAUUUGAAAGCUCCGGCGGUAAAGGAUGACCAUGCGCACGAUUAGCUAGUAGGUGAGGUAACGGCUCACCUAGGCUACGAUCGUUAGGGGGCCUGAGAGGGUUAUCCCCCACACUGGUACUGAGACACGGACCAGACUCCUACGGGAGGCAGCAGUGAGGAAUAUUGCGCAAUGGAGGCAACUCUGACGCAGCCAUGCCGCGUGCAGGAAGAAGGCGCUACGCGUUGUAAACUGCUUUUAACCGGGAAGAAACCCCAGGACGUGUCCUGGGUUGACGGUACCGGAGGAAUAAGCACCGGCUAACUUCGUGCCAGCAGCCGCGGUAAUACGAAGGGUGCAAGCGUUAUCCGGAUUCAUUGGGUUUAAAGGGUGCGUAGGCGGGGCGUUAAGUCAGUGGUGAAAUCCUGCAGCUCAACUGUAGACUUGCCAUUGAUACUGACGCUCUUGAGUGCGCUUGAAGUAGGCGGAAUGUGCCGUGUAGCGGUGAAAUGCUUAGAUAUGGCACAGAACACCGAUUGCGAAGGCAGCUUACUAAGGCGAUACUGACGCUGAGGCACGAAAGCGUGGGGAUCGAACAGGAUUAGAUACCCUGGUAGUCCACGCCGUAAACGAUGAUCACUCGUCAUUGGCGAUACACUGUCAGUGACCUAGCGAAAGCGUUAAGUGAUCCACCUGGGGAGUACG
rnacentral:rRNA from 1 species